GCCGGCGUAGCUCAACUGGCAGAGCGUCCGCCUUGUAAGCGGAAGGUUCGGGGUUCGAGUCCCCGCGUCGGCUCCA
rnacentral:tRNA from 1 species